rnacentral:rRNA from 1 species
GUUGAACGCUGGCGGCAGGCCUAACACAUGCAAGUCGAGCGGAUGAAGGGAGCUUGCUCCUGGAUUCAGCGGCGGACGGGUGAGUAAUGCCUAGGAAUCUGCCUGGUAGUGGGGGAUAACGUCCGGAAACGGGCGCUAAUACCGCAUACGUCCUGAGGGAGAAAGUGGGGGAUCUUCGGACCUCACGCUAUCAGAUGAGCCUAGGUCGGAUUAGCUAGUUGGUGGGGUAAAGGCCUACCAAGGCGACGAUCCGUAACUGGUCUGAGAGGAUGUUCAGUCACACUGGAACUGAGACACGGUCCAGACUCCUACGGGAGGCAGCAGUGGGGAAUAUUGGACAAAGGGCGAAAGCCUGAUCCAGCCAUGCCGCGUGUGUGAAGAAGGUCUUCGGAUUGUAAAGCACUUUAAGUUGGGAGGAAGGGCAGUAAGUUAAUACCUUGCUGUUUUGACGUUACCAACAGAAUAAGCACCGGCUAACUUCGUG